UGGUAUUGUUAUUCAAGAAGGCAGCAUGGGAUAAACCAGGAAACUAUAGGCUGGUCAGCCUAACCUUGGUGAUGGGGAAACUAUCAGAAGUAAUUCUGAGGUACAGCAUGAAUCUGCAUUUGAAGAGGUCGGGCUCAAACAAGAACAGUCAGCAUGGUUUUGGCAAGAGAAAGGCAUAUCUGACCAAUUUGUCUGAAUUUUUCAAAGAGGUGAUGAGGUGUGUAGAGGAGAGCAACGAUUUGAUGUGUUCUACUUGGACUUCAACAAGGCUUUUGGUAAGGUCCUGCAUGGGAGACUAACAGCAAAGGGGGCGACUGAUCUAUGAAUCUCCGAAUUAUGAAUACGACCCCAUACAGGAAAAGAAUAAUCCACUUCACAAAGAUCGAACAAACGUCUGUUCUUCAACACCUCUUCUUCCUCAGGAGACUAAGGGGAUUUGGCAUGUCCAUAACAACUCUCACCAACUUUUACAGGUGCACCACAGAAAACUGAGGCGGAGUUGUGAACACAGCCCAGACAAUCACACAAGCCAACCUUCCAUCCAAUGACUCUAUCUACAUUUCUCGUUGCUGCGGAAGGGCAGCCAAGAUCAUCAAAGGCCCUCCCACCCCAGUCAUUAUAUCUUCCAACCUCUUCCGUCAGGUAGAAGAUACAAAAGCUUAAACCAACGUACCAACAGAUUCAAGAACAGCUUCUUCCUUGCUGUUAUUAGACUUCUGAAUGAACCUCACAAAUUUCAAAUCUAAUGCUGAUCUAGCUUUUUGGACAUCCUAUUUGCAGCCCUAACGUUGUAUUUCUCACAUACUUUGUUUGCAGCCAUAACUUUGUAUUCCUUGUUCUGUUUAAUCACUUUUAUAA